rnacentral:rRNA from 1 species
AUUGAACGCUGGCGGCAGGCCUAACACAUGCAAGUCGAGCGGAUGAGGAAAGCUUGCUUUUCGAUUCAGCGGCGGACGGGUGAGUAAUGCCUAGGAAUCUGCCUGUUAGUGGGGGAUAACUCGGGGAAACUCGGGCUAAUACCGCAUACGUCCUACGGGAGAAAGUGGGGGAUCUUCGGACCUCACGCUAACAGAUGAGCCUAGGUCGGAUUAGCUAGUAGGUGAGGUAACGGCUCACCUAGGCGACGAUCCGUAACUGGUCUGAGAGGAUGAUCAGUCACACUGGAACUGAGACACGGUCCAGACUCCUACGGGAGGCAGCAGUGGGGAAUAUUGGACAAUGGGCGAAAGCCUGAUCCAGCCAUGCCGCGUGUGUGAAGAAGGUCUUCGGAUUGUAAAGCACUUUAAGUUGGGAGGAAGGGCAGUAAGUUAAUACCUUGCUGUUUUGACGUUACCAACAGAAUAAGCACCGGCUAACUUCGUGCCAGCCGCCGCCGUAACAC